CCUACGGGUGGCAGCAGUGGGGAAUAUUGCGCAAUGGGCGAAACCCUGACCCAGCAACGCCGCGUGAGUGAAGAAGUAUUUCGGUAUGUAAAGCUCUAUCAGCAGGGAAGAAAAAGGCGGUACCUGAGUAAGAAUCCCCGGCUAACUACUUGCCAGCAGCCGCGGUAAUACGACGGGGGCAAGCGUUAUCCGGAUUUACUGGGUGUAAAGAGAGCGUAGACGGCAGUGCAAGUCUGGAGUGAAAGGCAGGGGCUCAACCCGCGGACUGCACGGGAUACUGUACGGCUGGAGUGCAGGAGAGGUAAGUGGAAUUCCUAGUGUAGCGGUGAAAUGCGUAGAUAUUAGGAGGAACACCAGUGGCGAAGGCGGCUUACUGGACUGUAACUGACGUUGAGGCGCGAAAGCGUGGGGAGCAAACAGGAUUAGAUACCCUUGUAGUC
rnacentral:rRNA from 1 species